UACGGAGGGGGCUAGCGUUGUUCGGAAUUACUGGGCGUAAAGCGCACGUAGGCGGCUUUGUAAGUUAGAGGUGAAAGCCCAGGGCUUAACCCUGGAAUUGCCUUUAAGACUGCAUCGCUCGAAUUGUGGAGAGGUGAGUGGAAUUCCGAGUGUAGAGGUGAAAUUCGUAGAUAUUCGGAAGAACACCAGUGGCGAAGGCGACUCACUGGACACAUAUU
rnacentral:rRNA from 1 species